CUGGCGGCAGGCCUAACACAUGCAAGUCGAGCGCGCCUUCGGGUGAGCGGCGGACGGGUUAGUAACGCGUGGGAACGUGCCCUUUUCUACGGAAUAGCCUCUGGAAACGGAGAGUAAUACCGUAUACGCCCUUUGGGGGAAAGAUUUAUCGGAGAAGGAUCGGCCCGCGUUAGAUUAGGUAGUUGGUGGGGUAACGGCCUACCAAGCCUACGAUCUAUAGCUGGUUUUAGAGGAUGAUCAGCAACACUGGGACUGAGACACGGCCCAGACUCCUACGGGAGGCAGCAGUGGGGAAUCUUAGACAAUGGGCGCAAGCCUGAUCUAGCCAUGCCGCGUGAGUGAAGAAGGCCUUAGGGUCGUAAAACUCUUUCGCCAGAGAUGAUAAUGACAGUAUCUGGUAAAGAAACCCCGGCUAACUCCGUGCCAGCAGCCGCGGUAAUACGGAGGGGGUUAGCGUUGUUCGGAAUUACUGGGCGUAAAGCGCACGUAGGCGGACUGGAAAGUUGGGGGUGAAAUCCCGGGGCUCAACCUCGGAACUGCCUCCAAAACUAUCAGUCUAGAGUUCGAGAGAGGUGAGUGGAAUUCCAAGUGUAGAGGUGAAAUUCGUAGAUAUUUGGAGGAACACCAGUGGCGAAGGCGGCUCACUGGCUCGAUACUGACGCUGAGGUGCGAAAGUGUGGGGAGCAAACAGGAUUAGAUACCCUGGUAGUCCACACCGUAAACGAUGAAUGCCAGU
rnacentral:rRNA from 1 species